CACCGCCAUCUGCUAUUGUUCAACAGGGUUCGUCUACCACAGGUGAGGAGUGAAUCAUAUUUGCUGGUGUGUGCAGAAGGGGGGGAACUCCAAGCCUGGGAGAGACAUUGUUGUACUGAACUCUCCUGAAUGAACCUGAAGCCUGUUUAUUCCUCGGCCCAGCUCCCGAUCCACUUGCUGCCUGGACACACUCCUCCCUGACUACAUUCAGACAUGCACAUCAUCAAACUGGACUUGUAUUCCACAUCGAAUCCUCUCUGAAUCCAAGGCCAGCCUUGUUUCAAGAACCUCCACAAACCAUGCCCCGGCAUCUCCCACUCACAGACUCCCUAAACAUUGUCCCUCUUCCUACUGCCAGCUAAGUAGAGUUGCUCAUUUCCAAGCUCAUAUCCUUGUUAAUGUUAGCGAUAGCGAUUGUGUGUUUUGGGUCUAGCAGUUUCUGUUUCGCCAUGUCUGAGUGUAGAAGUAGCUUGUACUUUGUGUAAGUACCGGAUUGCGCAUCCCUGAUCAGUUCGGGCCUUUGUACUCGCCCUGUAGAUCUCUGUUCUGGUCAGUAACCCCUGUCCUGUGUGAGCAUUAGCUUUACUGUUAACACUGCGGUGUAGUUUCCUGAAGGCUCUAUGUCAGUUCGAUAAGUUUGUCCUUCUCAGUUCCUGUAGUCAUUUUUUCGCUUCCGAGUGUAGGUCUCAAUUUCCCCUCCAGAGGUUGCUAGAGAUUUUCCUGUUUCUCCUUUCCCCUUUUGUAAAAUAAACUCUUUGAAUUUUAACCCUCGUCUGUUGUGGUCCUGUCUGCACUCGGGUCUUUAAUGUUCUGUGUCACCUUCAGCUGUUUUCAGAUGACAAGAUCAUAUUACUCUCACUUUAGUCCUUCUUUCCAGGCAACAUCUUUGUUUAGAAUUUAUUUCAACAUUAUACAGACAUUCUCAUACUUUUCUGAC
ensembl:lncRNA